GAAUCUCGUUGAAGAUCUACUCUCUUGCUGUUUUUUCUAACGUGGAAAGAUCAUAUUUUACUGUAAAACUACUCAGUACGUAGGAAUUAAAAGUUUACUUGAAGUAUAUUAUUAUGGCCAGCCUAUGGCACACCUGUGCAAUAAUCAUGUUGUCUAAUCAGCAUCUUGAUAUGCCACACCUGUGAGGUGGAUGGAUUAUCUUGGCAAAGGAGACCGCUAUGUAAUUUAAUCCAAACUAUCAGCCAGAUACAUGUUGUUGAUGGAGAGCUUGGACCUUUGUUCUGAUUUUAUUUUAUUUUAAUUGCUAACAUUCCUGAAAGCAUGAAUGAAGAGCGUUACAAGGAGAAACAGACGGAUGAAAUGACACCAACCAUGAAGGGAAGUGGACUAGAGCUGAAAAGAAAAGGACGUACUGCUUCUGCUGCCAAGCGAUCCCAGCACUGUCCGCACACUCUGUGAAGGAGAGGCCAGCU